rnacentral:rRNA from 1 species
UACGUAGGGUGCGAGCGUUGUCCGGAAUUAUUGGGCGUAAAGAGCUUGUAGGCGGUUUGUCGCGUCUGCUGUGAAAAUCCGGGGCUCAACCCCGGACUUGCAGUAGGUACGGGCAGACUAGAGUGUGGUAGGGGAGACUGGAAUUCCUGGUGUAGCGGUGAAAUGCGCAGAUAUCAGGAGGAACACCGAUGGCGAAGGCAGGUCUCUGGGCCACUACUGACGCUGAGAAGCGAAAGCAUGGGGAGCGAACAGG